rnacentral:rRNA from 1 species
CAGCCGCCGCGGGAAUACGGAGGGGGCUAGCGUUGUUCGGAAUUACUGGGCGUAAAGCGCACGUAGGCGGCUUGGUAAGUUAGAGGUGAAAGCCUGGAGCUCAACUCCAGAAUUGCCUUUAAGACUGCCGAGCUAGCAGGUGAGAGAGGUAAGUGGAAUUCCGAGUGUAGAGGUGAAAUUCGUAGAUAUUCGGAAGAACACCAGUGGCGAAGGCGGCUUACUGGCUCAUACUGGACGCUGAGGUGCGAAAGCGUGGGGAGCAAACAGGAUUAGAUACCCUUGUAGUCCCUGUCUCUUAUAC